GACGAACGCUGGCGGCGCGCCUAACACAUGCAAGUCGAACGAGCGAGAGAGAGCUUGCUUUCUCAAGCGAGUGGCGAACGGGUGAGUAACGCGUGGGUAACCUGCCUUAUACAGGGGGAUAACACUUAGAAAUAGGUGCUAAUACCACAUAAGCGCACAGUUUCGCAUGAAACAGUGUGAAAAACUCCGGUGGUAUAAGAUGGACCCGCGUCUGAUUAGCUGGUUGGUGAGGUAACGGCCCACCAAGGCGACGAUCAGUAGCCGGCCUGAGAGGGUGAACGGCCACAUUGGGGCUGAGACACGGCCCAA
rnacentral:rRNA from 1 species